UACGAAGGGGGCUAGCGUUGCUCGGAAUUACUGGGCGUAAAGCGCACGUAGGCGGCUUGUUAAGUCAGGGGUGAAAUCCUGGAGCUCAACUCCAGAACUGCCUUUGAUACUGGCGAGCUUGAGUUCGGGAGAGGUGAGUGGAACUGCGAGUGUAGAGGUGAAAUUCGUAGAUAUUCGCAAGAACACCAGUGGCGAAGGCGGCUCACUGGCCCGAUACUGACGCUGAGGCGCGAAAGCUAGGGGAGCAAACGGG
rnacentral:rRNA from 1 species